rnacentral:misc_RNA from 1 species
AGAAAAGAAAAAACAAAGCCAAACAGAGCAGAAGAAAAAGUUGUUCUCCAGCUUCAAUCCAUCACAUUCGUGCUCAAAAGACACUAUCUCUUUCAAUCUCUCUCCUCUUUCGAUUCUCUGACGUCCACCGUCACUUCAAUAUUCUCCGCCUCAGCAGAUUCUCUCUUCCCCACACAUUUCAUCUUUACCCGAUCACUCUUAAAGCUCUUUUCUUUUCUUUUUCUCCUUCCUUUCUCAAGCCAAGAAUCUCUUUCUCUUCAAUUCCUUUCUCUCUUCUAGAUUCUUUUGUUUCCCUCUUACUAAUUCCUCCCUUUUUAAUCAACAAUGUCCCUAUUGCGUUGUUCCCUCCAUCUUGUUCUUCUCUCUACUCACUUUUCUUCAUUCUCUUCCUUUCUUUUUCUUCCUUUCUUACUGUCGUUUUCAUUUCCUUGCGUUUCCUUUGAUUUCAUCAUAUUUCACCCCAUUCUAUACAUACAAAUAGCUUUUUUUCGAUUUUCAUGGCUCCUCCUCCUUCUUCUUCAUCAGGUGUCAACCAUAUCUCUAACCCUUGCAUUUAUGGGGACUUUGUUUCUUCAUACGCAGAGAGAAAAUCUCGGUUUAUGAAAUGGCUCAGCAAGAUCUUCAAAAGUGGGCCUAGUCGUGGAGGUGGCAGCGGUGGGGGCGGCCGUCAUCCGCAGCUUCUUGGGGAGGAAAACGUGGUCAGCUGGAGGCCAACAUCUAGAUCUUUGGAUGAGCGCUCUGGAAUUGACAAGGAGAAGGAGGAAGCUGAUCGUGCUGAUGCACUUUCUCAAGUUGAAGAUUGGAAGAGAUCAGGUUUUCAAGUUUUUAUACUUAUUGCGUUCCAUAUAUAUUUUAAGUUCAUACUGUGUUGUCUUUGAGCUUGUAUUCAAAAUUGAUGCUUUUCCAGGAUAUAGAUGCCGAACAGAUAAUGAUGAAGAACAAGCUAGGGCACUUCAUGAUAGGCUUAAUCAAGUUGGAUAUCCUCGUUAUGCCCCUCCUCAUGCCUACUAUAACAUAGGUUAUAGAUUAUGUGGUGGCUGCCAUGGUGAGAUUGGUUAUGGCAAUUACUUGGGAUGCAUGGGGAAAUUUUUUCAUCCAGAGUGCUUUCGCUGUUCUUACUGUGGUUACUCAAUUACUGAGAAUGAGUUUUCUUUGUCAGGUAGGGAUCCAUAUCACAAGUAUUGCUUCAAAGAGUUGACUCAUCCCAAAUGUGAAGU